rnacentral:misc_RNA from 1 species
GAUGAAGAACGUAGCGAAAUGCGAUAAGUAAUGUGAAUUGCAGAAUUCAGUGAAUCAUCGAAUCUUUGAACGCACCUUGCGCUCUUUGGUAUUCCGAAGGGCAUGCCUGUUUGAGUGUCAUGAAAAUAUCAACCUUGACUUGGGUUUUGUGCUCUAGUCUCGGCUUGGAAUUGGGUGCUUGCCGCUUUUACGAGCGGCUCACCUUAAAUGUAUUAGCUGGAUCUGUCUUUGAGACUUGGUUUGACUUGGCGUAAUAAGUAUUUCGCUAAGGACAUUCUUCGGAGUGGCCUCGUUUCUAGGACGCUUGUCCGCUUUCCAAUACAAGUUCCACCUCGUGGACAUGACUUUUUAUUAUCUGGCCUCAAAUCAGGUAGGACUACCCGCUGAACUUAAGCAUAUCAAUAAGCGGAGGA